UGGUUUUUAUCUGCUAUAGGAUAGGAUCGUGGAUGAUUAUGGUUGUUGGUGAGGUAACGGCUCACCAAGCCGAUAAUCGAUAGGGGCCGUGAGAGCGGGAGCCCCGAGAUGGGUACUGAGACAACGACCCAGGCCUUACGAGGCGCAGCAGGCGCGGAACCUCCGCAAUACACGAAAGUGUGACGGGGUUACCCAAAGUGUUCAAUUUUGAACUGUGGUAGGUGAGUAAUGUUCCCUACUAGAAAGGAGAGGGCAAGGCUGGUGCCAGCCGCCGCGGUAAAACCAGCUCUUCAAGUGGUCGGGAUAAUUAUUGGGCUUAAAGUGUCCGUAGCCGGUUUAGUAAGUUCCUGGUAAAAUCGGGUAGCUUAACUAUCUGUAUGCUAGGAAUACUGCUAUACUAGAGGGCGGGAGAGGUCUGAGGUACUACAGGGGUAGGGGUGAAAUCUUAUAAUCCUUGUAGGACCACCAGUGGCGAAGGCGUCAGACUGGAACGCGCCUGACGGUGAGGGACGAAAGCCAGGGGAGCGAACCGGAUUAGAUACCCGGGUAGUCCUGGCCGUAAACGAUGCAUACUAGGUGAUGGUGUGGCCAUGAGCCGUAUCAGUGCCGUAGGGAAACCGUUAAGUGUGCCGCCUGGGAAGUACGGUCGCAAGGCUAAAACUUAAAGGAAUUGGCGGGGGAGCACCACAAGGGGUGAAGCCUGCGGUUCAAUUGGACUCAACGCCGGGAAACUUACCAGGGGAGACAGUAGAAUGAUGGUCAGGUUGACGACCUUACCUAACGAGCUGAGAGGAGGUGCGUGGCCGUCGCCAGUUCGUGCUGUGAGGUAUUCUGUUAAGUCAGGCAACGAACGAGAUCCGCACCUUUAUUUGCCAGCAAGAAGUCACGACUUCGUUGGGAACACUAAAGGGACCGCCGUCGAUAAGACGGAGGAAGGAGCGGGCAAAGGCAGGUCAGUAUGCCCCGAAACCCCUGGGCUACACGCGGGCUGCAAUGGUAUGAACAAUGGGCUGUAACUCCGAAAGGAGAAACCAAUCCCGAAAUCAUAUCUCAGUGGGAAUUGUCGGCUGUAACCCGCUGACAUGAACGUGGAAUCCCUAGUAAUCGUGUGUCAUCAUCGCACGGUGAAUACGUCUCUGCUCCUUGCACACACCGCCCGUCGCUCCAUCCGAGUGUGCUAAAAAUGAGGUCUGGUCAUAAUGGUCAUAUCGAG
rnacentral:rRNA from 1 species